AUUGAACGCUGGCGGCAGGCCUACCACAUGCAAGUCGCGCGGAGCGGCGGCCGGGUGAGUAAUGCCUAGGAAUCUGACUGGUAGUGGGGGCUAACGUCCGGAAACGGGCGCUAAUACAGCAUACUCUCAGAUGAGCCUAGGUCGGAUUAGCUAGUUGGUGGGGUAAAGGCCUACCAGGUCGACGAUCCGUAACUGGUCUGAGAGGAUGAUCAGUCACACUGGAACUGAGACACGGCCCAGACUCCUACGGGAGGCAGCAGUGGGGAAUAUUGGACAAUGGGCGAAAUCCUGAUCCAGCCAUCCCGCGUGUAGGAUGAAGGCCUUCGGGUUGUAAAGUACUUUCGGCGGAGAGGCGUUACCCGCAGAAGAAGCACCGGCUAACUCCGUGCCAGCAGCCGCGGUAAUUC
rnacentral:rRNA from 1 species